GAUAGCUGGUUCUCCCCGAAAUAGCUUUAGGGCUAGCCUCAGGCAGUAAGUAUAGGCGGUAGAGCACUGAUCGGGCUAGGGGCCGUAAAGGUUACCGAACCCUGUCAAACUCCGAAUGGAUAUACUGCAGAGCCUGGGAGUCAGACUACGAGUGAUAAGAUCCGUGGUCAAAAGGGAAACAGCCCAGACCACCAGCUAAGGUCCCCAAUGCCGUACUAAGUGGAGAAGGAUGUGGGGUCUCUAAAACAACCAGGAUGUUGGCUUAGAAGCAGCCACCAUUUAAAGAGUGCGUAAUAGCUCACUGGUCGAGAGACCCUGCGCCGAAGAUUACCGGGGCUAAAGUACGGAACCGAAGCUGUGGCUACGACUUAGGUCGUGGGGUAGGGGAGCGUUCUCUGAGGGCUGAAGUCGUUCUGGAAGGAACGGUGGACUUCAGAGAAGUGAGAAUGUUGGUAUGAGUAGCGAAAAGAAAGGUGAGAAUCCUUUCCACCGAAAGCAUAAGGAUUCCUGGGCAACGAUCGUCGUCCCAGGGUAAGUCGGGACCUAAUCCGAGGCAGAGAGCGUAGGAGAUGGACAACUGGCAGAUAUUCCAGUACCGGUAAUGAUUGUUUGAGCGAAGGAGUGACACAGGAGGGCAGGCAGGCAGGAGAUUGGUAGUUCCUGUACAAGCGUGUAGGAUGGGUUACAGGCAAAUCCGUAACCUGAAAGUCUGAGGCGUGAUGUGGAGAGAGUAGAGAUACUCUUGAAGCUGUUGACCCCACACUGUCGAGAAAAGCUUCUAGUGAGAAAGUUACCGCCCGUACCGUAAACCGACACAGGUAUGCGGGGAGAGAAUCCUAAGGUGCGCGGGAGAACCCUCGUUAAGGAACUCGGCAAAAUGUACCCGUAACUUCGGGAUAAGGGUAGCCGGCAUUGUGAAGUCCCAUGCGGAUGGAGCAUAGACCGGUCGCAGAGAAGAGGCCCAAGCGACUGUUUACCACAAACACAGGUGCCUGCUAAAGAGAAAUCUGACGUAUAGGUGCUGACACCUGCCCAGUGCCGGAAGGUUAAGGAAGGAUGUCCGGAUAAUACCAAAGCAUUCGACCGAAGCCCCGGUGAACGGCGGCCGUAACUAUAACGGUCCUAAGGUAGCGAAAUUCCUUGUCGGGUAAGUUCCGACCCGCACGAAAGGUGUAACGACUUGGGCACUGUCUCAACGAGGGACCCGGUGAAAUUGAAGUACCUGUGAAGAUGCAGGUUACCCGCGACUGGACAGAAAGACCCCAUGGAGCUUUACUGUAACCUGACAUUGGGUUCUGAUACAUUACGUACAGGAUAGGUGGGAGGCAUGGAAGCGAGGACGCAAGUCUUCGUGGAGCCGACGUUGGGAUACCACCCUUGAUGUAUCGGAAUUCUAACCGUAGGAGUAACGAAACUCGGGACAGUGUCAGGCGGGCAGUUUGACUGGGGCGGUCGCCUCCCAAAGAGUAACGGAGGCGCCCAAAGGUUCCCUCAGCGCGGCCGGAAAUCGCGCGAAGAGUGUAAAGGCAGAAGGGAGCUUGACUGAGAGCCAAACACGGCAAUCAGGUACGAAAGUAGGGCUUAGUGAUCCGGUGGCAUCCAAGUGGAAGGGCCAUCGCUCAACGGAUAAAAGCUACCCUGGG
rnacentral:rRNA from 1 species